rnacentral:rRNA from 1 species
GGAAUAUUGGUCAAUGGAGGGAACUCUGAACCAGCCAUGCCGCGUGCGGGAAGAAGGCCCUAUGGGUUGUAAACCGCUUUUGACCGGGAGUAAUAAGGGCCGUGCGCGGUCCGAUGAGAGUACCGGUGGAAUAAGCAUCGGCUAACUCCGUGCCAGCAGCCGCGGUAAUACGGAGGAUGCGAGCGUUAUCCGGAUUUAUUGGGUUUAAAGGGUGCGUAGGCGGAGCGUUAAGUCAGCGGUGAAAUGUCCCGGCUCAACCGGGGAGCUGCCGUUGAUACUGGCGCACUAGGGUCCGAGCGGCGCCGGCGGAAUGUGCAAUGUAGCGGUGAAAUGCAUAGAUAUUGCUCAGAACACCGAUCGCGAAGGCAGCUGGCGAGGACGGGACCGACGCUGAGGCACGAAGGCGUGGGGAUCGAACA